rnacentral:rRNA from 1 species
AACGCUAGCUACAGGCUUAACACAUGCAAGUCGAGGGGCAUCAUGGUGGUUGCUUGCGACCGCUGAUGGCGACCGGCGCACGGGUGAGUAACGCGUAUCCAACCUUCCCAUGACUAAGGGAUAACCGGUAGAAAUGCCGACUAAUACCUUAUAUUGUUCUUCCAUGGCAUCAGCAGAGAACUAAAGAUUUAUCGGUUAUGGAUGGGGAUGCGUCUGAUUAGGUAGUAGGCGGGGUAACGGCCCACCUAGUCAGCGAUGGAUAGGGGUUCUGAGAGGAAGGUCCCCCACAUUGGAACUGAGACACGGUCCAAACUCCUACGGGAGGCAGCAGUGAGGAAUAUUGGUCAAUGGGCGCGAGCCUGAACCAGCCAAGUAGCGUGAAGGAUGACUGCCCUAUGGGUUGUAAACCUCUUUUAUAAGGGAAUAAAAUACGGGACGUGUCCUGUUUUGCAUGUACCUUAUGAAUAAGGACCGGCUAAUUCCGUGCCAGCAGCCGCGGUAAUACGGAAGGUCCGGGCGUUAUCCGGAUUUAUUGGGUUUAAAGGGAGCGCAGGCGGUCUUAUAAGCGUGACGUGAAAUGCAGCGGCUCAACCGUAUGAUGUGCGUCGCGAACUGUGAGACUUGAGUGUAUUCGAUGUCAGCGGAAUUUGUGGUGUAGCGGUGAAAUGCUUAGAUAUCACGAAGAACUCCGAUUG